rnacentral:tmRNA from 1 species
GGGGAUGUAUUGAUUCGAUAAAGAUGUAUCUUGAACUGGCGAGCCGAUGGCUCCGCCGUAAACGGGGCAAAACUUAUAACUGCCAACUCUAAUCGAGUUACAGCUCCGAGCUUAGCUUACGCUUAGCUCGGGAUCGGCUGGCUUGGGUCUCUUAGGCUAAGUCCGGUCUUAUACAAGGAGACUCGUUCCGUGCCGACGAUUCUACGCACGGGGCUAAAUAUAGAAUCUUUAACCGUUAGCGGUUAGACUACGGCCAGCUGAGCUGGCCUACGCUCGUAGAAGGUUCAACGAUUUCAUUUUUACACGCGGGCUCAUUACCCGCCAUCUCCACCG